rnacentral:rRNA from 1 species
UAAACUGAAGAGUUUGAUCAUGGCUCAGAUUGAACGCUGGCGGCAGGCUUAACACAUGCAAGUCGAGCGGGGGAGGUUGCUUCGGUAACUGACCUAGCGGCGGACGGGUGAGUAAUGCUUAGGAAUCUGCCUAUUAGUGGGGGACAACAUUCCGAAAGGAAUGCUAAUACCGCAUACGCCCUACGGGGGAAAGCAGGGGAUCUUCGGACCUUGCGCUAAUA